rnacentral:lncRNA from 1 species
CUGACGCUUUUGUAUGGGGCGCACAGUUUUGCUCUUUAGAAAGUGUCUCAUGUGGGAGAAAAGGUUCCAUUCCAUAUAAGCCAUACUCCUUGAUUAAUAAUCGAUGUGGGACUAAAGAUGUCCUUCCCAUCUAUACCACAACAUAGUCCCCCAGUUAAGAGAGAGUAUGUGCAUAUGGGCAUAAGGCUUUUUCCCAUAGGCAGUACCAAUGUUGCGGUCAAAGGUCAAAGAGUCAAAUCGCUCGAAUGGCUGAAUUAACUCCACACUUGCGGUCAAAGGGUCAAAUGGCUCGGAUGGCUGAAUUAACUCCACACCUACAUACGUGAAAUAUUGUCCGCAUUGGCAUUUGACACUGUUGUAUGGGGCCAUAUGGUUUAACCUUUUAAAAGGCACCUUACGUUGGAGAGAAUAUUCCAAUCCAUAUAAGCUAUAUUCCCUCUUGACUCAUAAUCAAUAUGGGACUAAAGAUGUCCUUCCCAUCUAUACUACAACAAUUCUUAUGUAUGAUUAAGAGAAAUCAAUUUUAAAAUCUUAUAUAUGGAAGAUUGGGUACAUAUGUUGGGGUAAGAGCACU